rnacentral:rRNA from 1 species
UACGUAGGGGGCUAGCGUUGUCCGGAUUUAUUGGGCGUAAAGAGCGUGUAGGCGGCUAGGUAGGUCCGUUGUGAAAACUCGAGGCUCAACCUCGAGACGCCGAUGGAAACCAUCUGACUAGAGUCCGGAAGAGGAGAGUGGAAUUCCUGGUGUAGCGGUGAAAUGCGCAGAUAUCGGGAGGAACACCGGUGGCGAAGGCGGUUCUCUGGGCCUUACCUGACGCUGAGGAGCGAAAGCGUGGGGAGCGAACAGG